GACGAACGCUGGCGGCGUGCCUAAUACAUGCAAGUCGAGCGAGCGGAACUAACAGAUUUACCUCGGUAAUGACGUUAGGAAAGCGAGCGGCGGAUGGGUGAGUAACACGUGGGGAACCUGCCCCAUAGUCUGGGAUACCACUUGGAAACAGGUGCUAAUACCGGAUAAGAAAGCAGAUCGCAUGAUCAGCUUUUAAAAGGCGGCGUAAGCUGUCGCUAUGGGAUGGCCCCGCGGUGCAUUAGCUAGUUGGUAAGGUAAAGGCUUACCAAGGCGAUGAUGCAUAGCCGAGUUGAGAGACUGAUCGGCCACAUUGGGACUGAGACACGGCCCAAACUCCUACGGGAGGCAGCAGUAGGGAAUCUUCCACAAUGGACGCAAGUCUGAUGGAGCAACGCCGCGUGAGUGAAGAAGGUUUUCGGAUCGUAAAGCUCUGUUGUUGGUGAAGAAGGAUAGAGGUAGUAACUGGCUUUUAUUUGACGGUAAUCAACCAGAAAGUCACGGCUAACUACGUG
rnacentral:rRNA from 1 species